AGACUUCCACUGAUCUUACAGGGUACAGAUCAGUGUUUAUCUUACAGGGUACAGAUCAGUGUUUAUCUUACAGGGUACAGGUCAGUGUUUAUCUUACAGGGUACAGGUCAGUGUGUAUCUUACAGGGUACAGGUCAGUGUUUAUCUUACAGGGUACAGGGUACAGGUCAGUGUGUAUCUUACAGGGUACAGAUCAGUGUUUAUCUUACAGGGUACAGGUCAGUGUGUAUCUUACAGGGUACAGGGUACAGAUCAGUGUGUCUCUUACAGGGUACAGGUCAGUGUUUAUCUUACAGGGUACAGAUCAGUGUUUAUCUUACAGGGUACAGGUCAGUGUUUAUCUUACAGGGUACAGAUCAGUGUUUAUCUUACAGGGUACAGGUCAGUGUUUAUCUUACAGGGUACAGAUCAGUGUUUAUCUUACAGGGUAUAGGGUACAGAUCAGUGUUUAUCUUACAGGGUACAGAUCAGUGUUUAUCUUACAGGGUACAGGUCAGUGUUUAUCUUACAGGGUACAGGUCAGUGUUUAUCUUACAGGGUACAGAUCAGUGUUUAUCUUACAGGGUACAGGUCAGUGUUUAUCUUACAGGGUACAGGUCAGUGUUUAUCUUACAGAGUACAGAUCAGUGUUUAUCUUACAGGGUACAGGUCAGUGUUUAUCUUACAGGGUACAGAUCAGUGUUUAUCUUACAGGGUACAGAUCAGUGUUUAUCUUACAGGGUACAGGUCAGUGUGUAUCUUACAGUGUACAGGUCAGUGUGUAUCUUACAGGGUACAGGUCAGUGUUUAUCUUACAGGGUACAGGUCAGUGUGUAUCUUACAGGGUACAGGUCAGUGUUUAUCUUACAGAGUACAGGUCAGUGUUUAUCUUACAGGGUACAGGUCAGUGUUUAUCUUACAGAGUACAGAUCAGUGUUUAUCUUACAGGGUACAGGUCAGUGUUUAUCUUACAGGGUACAGAUCAGUGUUUAUCUUACAGGGUACAGAUCAGUGUUUAUCUUACAGGGUACAGGGUACAGGUCAGUGUUUAUCGUACAGGGUACAGGUCAGUGUGUAUCUUACAGGGUACAGGGUACAGAUCAGUGUUUAUCUUACAGGGUACAGAUCAGUGUUUAUCUUACAGGGUACAGGUCAGUGUUUAUCUUACAGGGUACAGAUCAGUGUUUAUCUUACAGGGUACAGGGUACAGGUCAGUGUUUAUCUUACAGGGUACAGGUCAGUGUUUAUCUUACAGAGUACAGGUCAGUGUUUAUCUUACAGGGUACAGGGUACAGAUCUGUGUUUAUCUUACAGGGUACAGAUCAGUGUUUAUCUUACAGGGUACAGGUCAGUGUUUAU